CCCAUGUGCCCAGGUAAAUGCAUUGUUUGCCUUGUUUACUGGGGGGCCCAAUAGCUGGUUGCCACCUUAGGGCCCCCCCUCCCAGGUGUUAAAGUACUAAUAUUCUAGCCGGGCGAUUAGGGAGAUAUGUCCUUUUAGAUUAAAAAAAUAUUGAUAACUGGUGAGUCUAUGAGAAAAUGUGUGUGUAUGUCUGGCAGUGAGUAUGUUUGUACUGUCAGUGAGUGUGUGUGUGUUUGUGUCUGUCAUUGUGAGUGUGUGUGUGUGUGUGUGUGUGUGUGUGUCUGGCAGUGAGUAUGUUUGUAUUGUCAGUGAGUGUGUGUUUGUGUCUGUCAUUGUGAGUGUGUGUGUGUGUGUGUCUGGCAGUGAGUAUGUUUGUAUUGUCAGUGAGUGUGUGUUUGUGUCUGUCAUUGUGAGUGUGUGUGUGUGUGUGUGUCUGGCAGUGAGUAUGUUUGUACUGUUGGUGAGUGUGUGUUUGUGUCUGUCAUUGUGAGUGUGUGUGUGUGUGUGUCUGGCAGUGAGUAUGUUUGCACUGUCGGUGAGUGUGUGUUUUUGUCUGUCAUUGUGUGUGUCUGGCAGUGAGUAUGUUUGUACUGUCAGUGAGUGUGUGUUUGUGUCUGUCAUUGUGAGCGUGUGUGUGUCUGUCAGUCAAAAACAAAGUCUGUGACACAAAUUGGUGGGGCAAAUUUAAAUAAGGGGGUGCUGAAUUUAGUCAUGCCUAGGGCAGCACAAAUCCAGAAUACACCAUUGGUUACAAGGAUGAAAAAAAUUUGCUGAGCAACACUAGUGCCAGUCAGCCGUGGGAUAACGUAAAAAACCCGUUAUGGUGAGUGGUAUUUAACAUGUUUAGCACUCACCUACACCACUGUAUCUCACUUAUUGUGUGAUGGAUUUACACUAUAUGUUAUUAUGUUUCUUUUUACAUGUAUGGUCUAACUUGCCCUGAAAUUUUGUAAGGGUAAGUUUGAAUCCAAAUUAGCACGGCACUAAAAGUAUUGGGUGUUUGGGGUAAUAACCACUUUAA